CUCCCCCUCCCUCUCCACUCCGAUGGGCUUCACUCACCUUCUCCGACCACCUCCUAGCCUGGAUUCAUGGUGGUUUCACCACCCACCAACCUUCUAUGUCCCAUCCAUGCUUGGUUAACGAAGUCUCAUGACCUGACCAUGAAAGAGCAAGGUCCAGAUCUUUGUGUGUUUCAUGUUCUAAGUCCAUCUCCGUCUAGCCAUGCCUGCUCAAGCCUGGCCUCGACUCCUCCUGUUUAGAUCAACAACCAUCCAAGCCUUUCUCACCGUUUGAGUUCCUCUGACACCCUAGCUUUCGAGAUUCUUCUAUAUUUCUUUAUGUC
rnacentral:lncRNA from 1 species